rnacentral:rRNA from 1 species
CCUACGGGAGGCAGCAGUAGGGAAUCUUCCACAAUGGGUGCAAACCUGAUGGAGCAAUGCCGCGUGAGUGAAGAAGGUCUUCGGAUCGUAAAGCUCUGUUGUUAGAGAAGAACACGUGCUAGGUAACUACUAGCGCCUUGACGGUAUCUAACCAGAAAGUCACGGCUAACUACGUGCCAGCAGCCGCGGUAAUACGUAGGUGACAAGCGUUGUCCGGAUUUAUUGGGCGUAAAGGGAGCGCAGGCGGUCUGUUUAGUCUAAUGUGAAAGCCCACGGCUUAACCGUGGAACGGCAUUGGAAACUGACAGACUUGAAUGUAGAAGAGGAAAAUGGAAUUCCAAGUGUAGCGGUGGAAUGCGUAGAUAUUUGGAGGAACACCAGUGGCGAAGGCGAUUUUCUGGUCUAACAUUGACGCUGAGGCUCGAAAGCGUGGGGAGCGAACAGGAUUAGAUACCCCAGUAGUC